rnacentral:rRNA from 1 species
UACGUAGGUGGCAAGCGUUGUCCGGAUUUACUGGGCGUAAAGAGCGCGCAGGCGGUCGUUCAAGUCGAGUGUGAAAGCCCCCGGCUCAACUGGGGAGGGUCACUCGAUACUGAUCGACUCGAAGGCAGAAGAGGGAAGCGGAAUUCCCGGUGUAGUGGUGAAAUUCGUAGAUAUUCGGAAGAACACCAGUGGCGAAGGCGACUUACUGGACACAUAUUGACGCUGAGGUGCGAAAGCGUGGGGAGCAAACAGG